rnacentral:rRNA from 1 species
UACGUAGGGGGCUAGCGUUGUCCGGACUCAUUGGGCGUAAAGCGCGUGUAGGCGGCCCGGUAAGUCCGCUGUGAAAGUCGGGGGCUCAACCCUCGGACGUCGGUGGAAACCGUUUGGCUAGAGUCCGGAAGAGGAGAGGGGAAUUCCCGGUGUAGCGGUGAAAUGCGCAGAUAUCGGGAAGAACACCCGUGGCGAAGGCGGCUCUCUGGGACGGUACUGACGCUGAGACGCGAAAGCGUGGGGAGCGAACAGG